GCAGGAUCUGCUGGAAAGAAGGCCUCAUAGCUGGUUCACACUGCAGACACCAGUGAAUCAGAUCCCAGCAUUCUGUGUAGGCAGAGUGAUGGAGUAAGAGAAGUUUGGGAUGCUUCCAAUUCAUCUUACCAUCAGACUGGCUGUUAUCAAGGUACGAAAUCCCCUCCAGGAUGUCCUUUGCAGUUGUAAAGGGGUGGUAUCCACAAAUCAUCCUGAAGAGCAGGACUCCCAAAGACCAGACCGUUGCUGAUCUUGCGUGGUACCUCUUGCUGAGCAGAUACUCUGGUGGACAGUAUUUAAAUGUGCCUGAAAACAAAAAAAAAGAGCGGAGAACAUUUUCUGUUUUGGUGUUUUAUAUUUAACAGCUACAGUUGCUAUAGGAUGCGAGGGUCUUCUCAGGAUUUGAAUUUAAAAGUUUCAGCUCCAUGGUGUCGGUGUUGAUGACGAAGUUCUUAGGCUUGAUGUCUCGGUGUAGGACGCCUCGCUGGUAGCACUUCCU